GGAAAAAUGUUUAACUUUCCCCUUGCUCAUCACAUCAUAUUUUGCUGUGCUCAGAGUAAAAUAUGGACAUGCACACAAAUAUGUGUGUGUCUAUUUGCAUGUAACUGUGUAGAGUUAUCUAGGAUGUUUCCCAUGGUUAUCUUCACAGAAUCAUAAGUAUUCAAGUUGGCAUAAGUAAUGCUGAAAUUAUGGAAACGGUGAGGAAGAUGUUUAAAUGCCUUCCUGAGCAGGUGAUGUCCAUCAGCACUGGAAGCAGAUGUUACUACCUCGUUGGGGACAGCAGGCAGGAAAUAGAUGACUGGGUCACUCUGAUAUCUUCCGUCUGCAGGGAGGACAAAAGAAGUGGAUGCUGCCCUCAGAACCAAGAUCUUCCAAAUCCAGAAGUCAGAAGCCGGACUUCCUCUUUGCCCCUAUUUUUGAGUUCUGUAGAUAUGGCCAGCUUUCCAGACAGGCAAAGCUGCCAGAAGGUAAACAAAUUAACUGUCCUUAAUAACGAGUC
rnacentral:lncRNA from 1 species